ACGCUCGACACCUACGGGAGGCAGCAGUGGGGGAUAUUGCACAAUGGGGGAAACCCUGAUGCAGCAACGCCGCGUGAGGGAAGAAGGUUUUCGGAUUGUAAACCUCUGUUCUUAGUGACGAUAAUGACGGUAGCUAAGGAGAAAGCUCCGGCUAACUACGUGCCAACAGCCGCGGUAAUCUGAGGCGGGCUGGCAAGGC
rnacentral:rRNA from 1 species